AUGUGUCAAUUUUCAACAUUGUUCUUUGCUAUCCUUCCCAACAAUUUGAGCUCUUGCUUUCUAUUGUCACACUUUUGUCUAGUUUGCUCAUUUGUUAAGAUAUUCAAACAAACAAACGUAUGUCAUCAAUUGUCAUUGACUUUAUCGCUCCUAUUUGCGGUGCAUCCUCUGAGUUCCACUCAGUGUAAAUUUGUCUUGUAUUGGCUUUGCCAGAUGUAGAAAGACACACAAAGUGUUGCAGGUGGUUGCUUUUUAAGAAAAUCUAACCCUAACACCUUCAGUCACAGCCACAAGCCUUUCUCCCCCUCAUGUACGCACACUCAAAAACAAAAGUAGCUACAUUUUGACAGGAAACUAUCAUGUACAAAACAGAGGCUUGAGCUCAAAUUGUAAUCGGACCUUGAACUGCAACAUAUUUUUGGGAACCUUGUUGAAGAAAUCCACAUGAAGAAAUCUACAAUGAUCAAUCCCAUACUGAAUAUCCUCUGGGAUUAUUCAUUAUUUCUUCCCUUGUUGAAGACGGUUAUUAUUAUUGACUGAUUUAAUGAGCCAUUCACAGUUUCACUGUACAGCCUGUGAGUACUUUGACAGUUGACUAAUCAGAAGCUGUGUUUCUAGCUGUGAGGCAGCUCUAAUCUGGAACAACAAUGAAUAACUGUCAAUAAUGUAUUAUACAGUAACCACCUCUUAAAUGAAUAACCAUCCCGCGUCAUUGGAGCACUGAAAUUUACUUUUAAGGUCAGCCAGUCGCUGUGAGCCUGGCAUAACUCAUGACACUUUAAGGAAAUAUCAUGAAGUUAAAAGAUGCGGUACAAAGUUAAAGGCGUCCUGUCUCCAAAGCUAAUGCGGACAUGGGGGACCUGAUAUUUCUGCCUGUCCACGGAGUGAUAAGCUCUUAAGACAUAGUGGUCCAUACAGAUUGAUCCUGGGAGAGUUGGGGCAGGGUCAGGACAGGGAUGGAGAUAAUAAUUGGCUCCUAUUCGCAAAAGAAGAUUUAACAUAAUUGCCGCGUUUGAAAUUGGGAUUCAGUGUCUGGUGUAGGGUUUUGAUCACCUCAUAAAAGGUGUAUUACCAAUGGCAUUCUUUAUGUUAAAAAUCGUUCUUACAGCAACAGAAAAUGUUCUGAAGCCACCAAAUAUCCACAAAGCCACUAGCAAGAAGUACCUGUAUGGCUAAGUAAGGCGAAAAGAGGGUAAUGUAAUUGUAACUGUCGUCUGCUCCUGUUGUGAGCACAAAUAUGAUUGGAUUUGAGUUACUGCCUACCGUACGGCCUUUGAUUGUGAUGUUUGUCAUGACCCAACUACAUCAUCAUAGCAAGCCCUGACAAGUUUAAGCUGACAAUGUGCCACACCUUGGAGUUGAACAUGACAAAUAGAUAAUUUGGUUUGGUGUACUCUUUUUUUUACCCCUAGUCUCACCAGAAUCCUCACUCUGCUUCAAUAUUUUUAAAAUAAAACACCCUUACCCUUACCGCAGUCACUCUAGGGACUAACAGCAUCUCCGCAGCCGUUGGUUUUGAUCUUGGACAAAGAGAUGAAUGAGCAGAGACAUUUUACAUCAAUACUGUCUAGAUGGGUUAUGAAACCAACAUUAUAUCAGUUAGUCCUAAACUGCUAGAACUAAACCUGCUUAUGACUUACUGCAUUGGUUGUGAAUAGACACCUUGUCAUCUAUCUGGUGUCUCUUGUCAGCAUUUCUUGGUAAAUUGGCUUGCAUUAAUCCUGGAUACAUCUAAAAUUGAGAAAAACAUGGUUGUUUUCCCACAGAUUAUCAUUUGGAGAUAUAGACACCAAUGUGCUUUGUAUAGAAAUAGAUUGACAUGUGAAAUCAAGCUGCAGUCUCAAUCAUUGUCAUAGUCAUUUUCAUAGACAAUUGUGCAUUGUGAAUUCUGCAUCAGAGGGAAUUUUCAUUACUCAUUAGAUCUUUAUUAAAAAACAGACUGCUUCUAGAUUGUGUCAAGGUCUAAUAUUUUCCUCUGCUUCCUUUCCAAAUGCAAUCCAAUGCAAAGUGUCUAAAAAGCAGGUACAUAAAUCGCUGGGAUUCAAAAGACAGUUACCAUUAAAAGGUGAAAUUAUAUUAUUAUUAUUAUCUAUAUGCUAAAUGGGAAAAAAAUAUUCAUAUUUCCCAUUUCAGUGAACUAAAUCUUUUUGUUCGGGCACAUAUGAGUCUCAAUCUCCUCCAAGUUGAACCACGUUUCCUACAGUCGUGUGUAUCAAUGUCAAUGUCAGUCAAUGUCUCUGAAGCAUUAGGAGACCAUUUUUAGAUACCUGCAAUUCUCCUGACAGACCCUUAGUGUUCUCACACACACGCACAUAGCAACCUUCACAGCUAUCCGUACAAGCUGUCUAAAAAGGAUUUGAUUCCAUACGGGCCUCACAUGCCUCUCUCCAAUGCAUCGGCCUACACACACACACACACACACACACACACACACACAUGCAGACACAGUGGAAAGUUGUGAUUUCUCAAAACAUGCAGCACUUUUGAAUGGGAGGGAGUGGAGCAUGUAACAAGGAGGGGCGGAUUGUACGAACACACUGACAACAAGGUCACUGGUACGAACGACCAACGUGGCUUUUUUCUGAACCCUGGCGUCUCUCUUAGAGAACCGAAGUUUGGGGUCCCCUGCUUGAACUGUUGCCCAUUUGACCUACCCUGGAUAAGUGGUUGAAGGUGACAUGAGAUGAGAAUGACGGCUUAUAACAAAGACCUUGUGUUGUCCUGGGGUCUUUUUUGCACUCACCAUUGCAGCACAAAGUGGUGCAAUGAGGAAAAUUGUUGACUACUACUUCUUUUUUCUUCUUCGUUUUCUUCUCGAAAACAUGAUGUGUGGGAUUAAGCAAUGAUUAUGACAACAACACCAAAACAGCUCCUUUCUUAUAAGUGUAGGUGCACUGUACAUUUUGGAGAGAGGCAGAAGCUCUACACUGCACGAGGAGGCUAGUGAGCUCAUUUUAAAGUGAAGGAAAAUUAUAAACAUGAUGAUGCAGUAGAAUCUGACAUGGAAGAAAAGUCAGAAGUGGAGGAAGAAUCAAUUGACAAGGAAGAGGACCCAGCUGCGAUAAAAGAAUAUUUCUAGUCAAAGAAUGAAAUAUUGAUCUCCUUCCCCAAUGACGGACGAUACAGGAGUUGACAGGAGUGACCAGAAACAUCAGGGAGAGAAAAGCCACCACGGUCCAACCGCAUAUGCAAAGUCUUGUAUUGAUGACAUCAAGUCCACUUUUGAACCGUUUUUCCCCAAGCAUAUUGAUGAGGUGGUGCUGGAGAUGAUACAAAAUGAUGGGCAAUGUGUUUAUGGUAACAAGUGUAGAAGCAUGGAUUGAAUGGAGCUGUAAGCAAAUGUGGGCGUGUUGGUUCUCUCUGGCGUGUACGGAUCCAGUAAAGAAUACAGCUGGUAUAUUGCAUGCUUUUAUAUAAACAAGGUGUAUUGGCCCGUAAUUCCCCAAAAAAGGGAAUUACAGGUGCAAGCAGCAAUGAAUGGGCCAUCACACCUUUGCCCACGUGGGGGUACUGGAUGGUACCAUCAGACAUAUCGUCCACGAGUUAGUUGUUGUUAAUUGCAUGGCGUGUCGCUGGAAAUUAUGUCCGAACAAACUUGAAGUCUAUCCGAUUACUAACAUAGGAGGAGUUUGAUAUCUUAAAGCAGGAAAAAGUGAAUGGAAAAAUAGAAGUGGGAUACUUCUGGUACGGUUAAAAGAAUGGUCCCGAGAGACUUUCUUUCCAGUUUACAUGUGUUACAUAUGCCUCAUAUGCCUAUCACUGCGCUGGGGCUGCUUGAAUUAAUAUUUGUUGGGGGCGCUAUUGAGCUGAAUGUGAUUAUGAGGCAUUAAAAUCACAAACUUUCAUGAAAUACAAAGAGCAGGAGGUGAAACCCAGCAGAUAACGGUGCCUCGAACACACUCAGAUACCAGAUAUUAUCUGCGGUGCACUGUUCAGUUGUUAGCUGGCCAGAGAGUGGGCGAGAGAGAAAAAGGGGAGGGACGAUUAGCUUGAAAUAAAAAUGCAUUUCAAAGCAAUACUGAGAAAGGUAGGGUGGAAAAUGGGAUUUUGUGUCACAUCACUCCAGAAAGGUUGCUGCAUGAUGUUGGAGGACAGCCACUGCCUCUUCUUCACAUGGUGUGUGACCAAAAGGUGCUUAGCUGAAAUAUUCAAAUCAUUCUAAGGUAAUUUCGUUCUUGAGGUCAUUCUUGAUAGAUGCUCAUAAAGCCAGCAUCAGUCAUCCUAAACUGACCUAAAUGAAAUAUAAUUUAGUAAAUCUGAAUCUAACGUGGUGCUGAUGUAAAGGUCAAUCAACAUUGAUGCAGUUCAGUUGUGACUGAAUUCAUGGCUUCAUUCAUUUGUUCAGUAUGUUUACAAAAUGAAUAUGUUGAUAACAAUAUUUUCCAGUAUUGAAUGUAUUUCACAAUAAAGAGGAAAACAUUCCUUUUAAACCCUGGAUGAGAGUACAUUUCUCUAAUUCUUCAAGCCCCUAUGUGGAUACAUAAUCGAAUGUUAUAGUCCGAAAUUAUGUGAGGAUGCAGACUGAGGAAUCUCAAGAUACCUUGACGUCCACCAUUUGCAAUCCGAUCAGCAAGAAUUUUAGGGCACAUGGUACUGUAGCACACUUCCAUGGAAGAGGACUCAUGAGAAAUGUCUUGCACUAAUGCAUAAAAUGAUUCUCUCCUUCAGACAUGGCACUGCUUUUUCAAAUAGAAUACCAUUUUCUCAACCCACUAAACCUGGCUAAAACAAGCGCGGCAUCAUGGAAUGCGGAGACUUUGGUAUUAAAGAGCUACCAGAAAUAGAGUAAAAGAAAAUGCCGAAGUCUUCUGAAGUGGCCCUGCUGCGACUUCUCCAGAUCUGAAUCUCAUUGGAAACCUUCAGUGAGUUCUCUCCAUCUUUAGGUCCACUGAAUGUUAAUAAUUAAUAGUGCUGAACGACAACACUCACUCGUACACACAUCACACCGGCCUAGUGGUAUAUGCAUACCGAGUCCAUCAGGUGAAAACCACUUCAAUAACCCGAAUAUCAACUAUUCAUGUGCUCAGAAAACAAGCAUGAUUUUCAUCUUUGCUGCAUUUACUCCAAAAGAAUGUUUGUCUGUGUACGUGUGUGUGUGUGUGUGUGUGUGUGUGUGUGUGGUGUCUGCAUAUCGAAGGGUCCUGUCUUUAAGUUACGCACAACACAAUGAGUAUGACCAGAAUGUCAUAAGCGAUUAUCGUUGUCAGCAUGUGUGUGUUUGUGUGUAUGUGAGGGUUUUUCAAACGUGGGAUUACAUUGUUUGGCAUUACAACAACCACAUACCUACUUCUCAGUUUGAAUAUAAUAAUGUGCAUUCUGUUAUGCAUGUGUUUACAGAUAAGGAAAUACAUGGCGGUUUCCCUAAGAGACACCCAUUGUGUUUCCGGGUGUUUUUAUUGCAUGCACAUGUGUUAGAAUCACUUUUUUGACACAAAGCAAAGUGU
ensembl:lncRNA